rnacentral:rRNA from 1 species
UGCCCCUUAUGACCUGGGCUACACACGUGCUACAAUGGUUGGUACAACGAGUUGCGAGUCGGUGACGGCGAGCUAAUCUCUUAAAGCCAAUCUCAGUUCGGAUUGUAGGCUGCAACUCGCCUACAUGAAGUCGGAAUCGCUAGUAAUCGCGGAUCAGCACGCCGCGGUGAAUACGUUCCCGGGCCUU